rnacentral:rRNA from 1 species
GACGAACGCUGGCGGCGUGCUUAACACAUGCAAGUCGAACGGAAAGGCCCUGCUUUUGUGGGGUGCUCGAGUGGCGAACGGGUGAGUAACACGUGAGUAACCUUCCCUUUACUUUGGGAUAACUUCAGGAAACUGGGGCUAAUACCUGAUAGGAGCUCCUGCUGCAUGGUGGGGGUUGGAAAGUUUCGGCGGUUGGGGAUGGACUCGCGGCUUAUCAGCUUGUUGGUGGGGUAGUGGCUUACCAAGGCUUCGACGGGUAGCCGGCCUGAGAGGGUGACCGGGCACAUUGGGACUGAGAUACGGACCAGACUCCUACGGGAGGCAGCAGUGGGGAAUAUUGCACAAUGGGCGGAAGCCUGAUGCAGCAACGCCGCGUGCGGGAUGACGGCCUUCGGGUUGUAAACCGCUUUCGCCUGUGACGAAGCGUGAGUGACGGUAAUGGGUAAAGAAGCACCGGCUAACUACGUG